rnacentral:rRNA from 1 species
GUCCACGCUGUAAACGGUGGGCACUAGGUGUGGGGACCAUUCCACGGUCUCUGCGCCGCAGCUAACGCAUUAAGUGCCCCGCCUGGGGAGUACGGCCGCAAGGCUAAAACUCAAAGGAAUUGACGGGGGCCCGCACAAGCGGCGGAGCAUGCGGCUUAAUUCGAAGCAACGCGAAGAACCUUACCUAGGCUUGACAUGCAGGGAAAUCUGGCAGAGAUGCCAGGUCCUUCGGGGCCUUGCACAGGUGGUGCAUGGCUGUCGU